rnacentral:rRNA from 1 species
AGUGAACGCUGGCGGUAGGCCUAACACAUGCAAGUCGAACGGCAGCACAGUAAGAGCUUGCUCUUACGGUUGGCGAGCGGCGGACGGGUGAGGAAUACAUCGGCAUCUACUUUUUCGUGGGGGAUAACGGAGGGACACUUACGCUAAUACCGCAUACGUCCUACGGGUGAAAGCAGGGGAGCUUCGGACCUUGCGCGAUUGAAUGAGCCGAAGCCGCAUUAGCUAGUUGGCGGGGUAACGGCCCACCAAGGCGACGAUCCGUAGCUGGUCUGAGAGGAUGAUCAGCCACACUGGAACUGAGACACGGUCCAGACUCCUACGGGAGGCAGCAGUGGGGAAUAUUGGACAAUGGGCGAAAGCCUGAUCCAGCCAUACCGCGUGGGUGAAGAAGGCCUUCGGGUUGUAAAGCCCUUUUGUUGGGAAAGAACAGCAGCAGGUUAAUCCCCCGCUGUUCUGACGGUACCCAAAGAAUAAGCACCGGCUAACUUCGUG